UACCAAUUGAGCUGCAGCUCAAUUGGUAAGAGGCGAAGCAAAUCCGUGAGGUGAUAUGGGUUCGAAUCCUAGCUCUGCAGGGCGAAGGGAUUGAACUCCACCAAAGCGGACAGUACCUUGUGAGUCGCACCGCCGGCCUCUAGGGGGGUACGCCAGCAAGAUGGCCACCCAGAGAGGGGCUUGAGCUGGGGCCCGCUAAGUCGGGAUGUGACAAU